rnacentral:lncRNA from 1 species
GAUAGAGUCACCUCUCUGUUGAGAACUGCCCUGACGUCUCUCUGGGUGAUAAGCAACAAACUGAUUGCAAGAAAUUCCAGGCUUGUGGACAUGGGAUAAACGUGAAUGACAGCCUGAUAUACUAAGGAAUUCAGUUGCUUGGAGACCUGCAUCUCGUUAUCUGUGCUGAAAGGCCAGAUCUAAAGUAGCAAGUGCACGUGGGAAGAAAAUGAGAAAGACAGGCUUUGUCUUCCUCCGAUUUGUUGGCUGCUCACCCAUCCCUUAAAAAAAGUCUUGAAUUCCUUUCUGGGGGCAUGUCGAUGUAUGUCAACGGGGGAGCAGAGAAGUCAAAGGCAUCGCUGUAGCAAGCAAGUUCUAAACCUCAAUCAUGUCAUUGAUCCACCCUCAAAUGCCCUUUCCUGCGAGUUCCUCGUGGCAAGGUAAAUACAGUUAUUUUUUCUGACUUCUCACUGUUAGAUAUUACACACAGUCUCACAGAAGUAUAGUCAGUAUCUCCAGUGUAGUAUACGCUGUACCUAUUCUAUUGGCUAGCAUUCAGCAAGUUUAAGUCAAUUCCAAUCAUUUUCCAACUUAAGUGCCAGGGAGCAUUUGGUGCCGUACAGCAUAACGCCAAUCUGAAAAGGACUGUUACAGGAGAUUAGCUUGUAGAAACAUCAUACUAACUGAGGGUACAGAAAUAAAAGGGAAAUCAAAGCAAGAUUGAAGGUUAAA